UGCUGGGUUUAGCUGGUGGGACCCGGGGACACGGCUAACGCUUCCCAGAAAGGCGACCCUUGGGCAUGUGGGGGGUGUGGUGUGUGUGUGUGUGUGUGGUGUGUGAGGUCUGUGUGUGGUGUCAAUGUGAGGUCUGUGUCUGGUGUGUGUGUGAGGUCUGUGUGUGUGAAUGUGGGGUCUGUGUGUGUGGGGUAUAUGUGUGUGAUGUGUGUGUGUAGUGUGUGAGGUCUGUGUAUGGUGUGUGUGAGGUCUGUGUGUGGUGUCAAUGUGAGGUCUGUGUCUGGUGUGUGUGUGAGGUCUGUGUGUGUGAAUGUGGGGUCUGUGUGUGUGUGGUAUAUGUGUGUGAUGUGUGUGUGUAGUGUGUGAGGUCUGUGUAUGGUGUGUGUGAGGUCUGUGUGUGUGUGGUGUGUGAGGUCUGUGUGUGGUGUCAAUGUGAGGUCUGUGUCUGGUGUGUGUGUGAGGUCUGUGUGUGUGAAUGUGGGGUCUGUGUGUGUGUGGUAUAUGUGUGUGAUGUGUGUGUGUAGUGUGUGAGGUCUGUGUAUGGUGUGUGUGAGGUCUGUGUGUGUGUGGUGUGUGAGGUCUGUGUGCAGUGUGUGUGUGAGGUCUGUGUGUGUGUGUAUUGUGUGAGGUCUGUGUGUGUGUGGUGUGUGUAAGGUUUGUGUGUAUGUGAUGUGUGAGGUCUGUGUGUGUGUGGUGUGUGUGAGGUCUGUGUGUGUGGUGUGUGCAGUGUGAGUGUAUGUCUGUGUGGUGGCAUCUGUGUGUGUGUGGUGUGUGGGGUCUGUGUGUGUGUGAGGUCUGUGUGUGGUGUGUGUGUUAGGUCUGUGUGUGUGGUGUGUGAGGUCUAUGUGUGUGUGUGGUGUGUGUGAGGUCUGUGUGUGGUGUUUGUGUGAGGUCUGUGUGUGUGUGGUGUGUGAGGUCUGUAUGUGUGUGUGUGGUGUGUCUGAGGUCUGUGUGUGGUGUGUGUGUGAGGUCUGUGUGUGUUGUCAAUGUGAGGUCUGUGUGUGGUGUCUGUGUGAGGUCUGUGUGUGUGGUGUGUGAGGUCUGUGUGUGUGAGGUCUGUGUGUGAGGUCUCUGUGUGUGUGGUCUCUGUGUGGUGUGUGUGUGAGGUCUGUGUGUGUGGUGUGUGAGGUCUGUAUGUGUGUAUGUGGUGUGUCUGAGGUCUGUGUGUGGUGUGUGUGAGGUCUGUGUGAGGUCUGUGUGUGUGGUAUGUGUGAGGUCUGUGGGUGGUGUGAGGUCUGUGUGUGUGGUGUGUGUGAGGUCUGUGUGUGGUGUGUGAGGUCUGUGUGUGUGAGAUCUGUAUGUGUGAGGUCUGUGUGUGUGGUGUGUGGUUUGUGUGUGGUGUGAGAUCUGUGUGUAUGAGGUCUGUGUGGUGUGUGAGGUUUGUGUGUGAGGUCUGCGUGUGUGCUGUGUGCAGUGUGAGUGCGUGUAUGUCUGUGUGGUGGCGUCUGUGUGUGUGUGGUGUGUGAGGUCCGUGUGUGUGUGGUGUGAGGUCUGUGUGUGUGGCGUGUGUGAGUGGGUGUAUGUGUGUGUCUGUGUGGGUGUUGUAUGUGUGUGUCGUGUGUGUUUGGGGGCUGAGGUCCCAUGUAGACAGAAGUCAGUGCCAAAGCCACAAACUCCUCCCGACCCCCCGCCUGCCAUUUGAACACUUGUCCCGACAUGCCCUGUCCUGGGGCGCCAGGACCCACUCACUCAUUUACUCCUUGCUGGGGCUGCCUUGGCUCCCCGAGAGGUGGGCGGGAGGCGAGCAUGAGGAGAGAGGGGCGGCUGGGUC
rnacentral:lncRNA from 10 species